rnacentral:rRNA from 1 species
UUAAGUUAUUAAGGGCGCACGGUGGAUGCCUUGGCACUAGAAGCCGAUGAAGGACGUUACUAACGACGAUAUGCUUUGGGGAGCUGUAAGUAAGCUUUGAUCCAGAGAUUUCCGAAUGGGGAAACCCAGCAUGAGUUAUGUCAUGUUAUCGAUAUGUGAAUACAUAGCAUAUCAGAAGGCACACCCGGAGAACUGAAACAUCUUAGUANCCGGAGGAAGAGAAAGAAAAUUCGAUUCCCUUAGUAGCGGCGAGCGAAACGGGAAGAGCCCAAACCAACAAGCUUGCUUGUUGGGGUUGUAGGACACUCUAUACGGAGUUACAAAGGACGACAUUAGACGAAUCAUCUGGAAAGAUGAAUCAAAGAAGGUAAUAAUCCUGUAGUCGAAAAUGUUGUCUCUCUUGAGUGGAUCCUGAGUACGACGGAGCACGUGAAAUUCCGUCGGAAUCUGGGAGGACCAUCUCCUAAGGCUAAAUACUCUCUAGUGACCGAUAGUGAACCAGUACCGUGAGGGAAAGGUGAAAAGCACCCCGGAAGGGGAGUGAAAUAGAACCUGAAACCGUGUGCUUACAAGUAGUCAGAGCCCGUUAAUGGGUGAUGGCGUGCCUUUUGUAGAAUGAACCGGCGAGUUACGAUUUGAUGCAAGGUUAAGCAGUAAAUGUGGAGCCGUAGCGAAAGCGAGUCUGAAUAGGGCGUUUAGUAUUUGGUCGUAGACCCGAAACCAGGUGAUCUACCCUUGGUCAGGUUGAAGUUCAGGUAACACUGAAUGGAGGACCGAACCGACUUACGUUGAAAAGUGAGCGGAUGAACUGAGGGUAGCGGAGAAAUUCCAAUCGAACCUGGAGAUAGCUGGUUCUCUCCGAAAUAGCUUUAGGGCUAGCCUCAAGUGAUGAUUAUUGGAGGUAGAGCACUGUUUGGACGAGGGGCCCCUCUCGGGUUACCGAAUUCAGACAAACUCCGAAUGCCAAUUAAUUUAACUUGGGAGUCAGAACAUGGGUGAUAAGGUCCGUGUUCGAAAGGGAAACAGCCCAGACCACCAGCUAAGGUCCCAAAAUAUAUGUUAAGUGGAAAAGGAUGUGGCGUUGCCCAGACAACUAGGAUGUUGGCUUAGAAGCAGCCAUCAUUUAAAGAGUGCGUAAUAGCUCACUAGUCGAGUGACACUGCGCCGAAAAUGUACCGGGGCUAAACAUAUUACCGAAGCUGUGGAUUGUCCUUUGGACAAUGGUAGGAGAGCGUUCUAAGGGCGUUGAAGCAUGAUCGUAAGGACAUGUGGAGCGCUUAGAAGUGAGAAUGCCGGUGUGAGUAGCGAAAGACGGGUGAGAAUCCCGUCCACCGAUUGACUAAGGUUUCCAGAGGAAGGCUCGUCCGCUCUGGGUUAGUCGGGUCCUAAGCUGAGGCCGACAGGCGUAGGCGAUGGAUAACAGGUUGAUAUUCCUGUACCACCUAUAAUCGUUUUAAUCGAUGGGGGGACGCAGUAGGAUAGGCGAAGCGUGCGAUUGGAUUGCACGUCUAAGCAGUAAGGCUGAGUAUUAGGCAAAUCCGGUACUCGUUAAGGCUGAGCUGUGAUGGGGAGAAGACAUUGUGUCUUCGAGUCGUUGAUUUCACACUGCCGAGAAAAGCCUCUAGAUAGAAAAUAGGUGCCCGUACCGCAAACCGACACAGGUAGUCAAGAUGAGAAUUCUAAGGUGAGCGAGCGAACUCUCGUUAAGGAACUCGGCAAAAUGACCCCGUAACUUCGGGAGAAGGGGUGCUCUUUAGGGUUAACGCCCAGAAGAGCCGCAGUGAAUAGGCCCAAGCGACUGUUUAUCAAAAACACAGGUCUCUGCUAAACCGUAAGGUGAUGUAUAGGGGCUGACGCCUGCCCGGUGCUGGAAGGUUAAGAGGAGUGGUUAGCUUCUGCGAAGCUACGAAUCGAAGCCCCAGUAAACGGCGGCCGUAACUAUAACGGUCCUAAGGUAGCGAAAUUCCUUGUCGGGUAAGUUCCGACCCGCACGAAAGGCGUAACGAUUUGGGCACUGUCUCAACGAGAGACUCGGUGAAAUCAUAGUACCUGUGAAGAUGCAGGUUACCCGCGACAGGACGGAAAGACCCCGUGGAGCUUUACUGUAGCCUGAUAUUGAAAUUCGGCACAGCUUGUACAGGAUAGGUAGGAGCCUUUGAAACGUGAGCGCUAGCUUACGUGGAGGCGCUGGUGGGAUACUACCCUAGCUGUGUUGGCUUUCUAACCCGCACCACUUAUCGUGGUGGGAGACAGUGUCAGGCGGGCAGUUUGACUGGGGCGGUCGCCUCCUAAAAGGUAACGGAGGCGCUCAAAGGUUCCCUCAGAAUGGUUGGAAAUCAUUCAUAGAGUGUAAAGGCAUAAGGGAGCUUGACUGCGAGACCUACAAGUCGAGCAGGGUCGAAAGACGGACUUAGUGAUCCGGUGGUUCCGCAUGGAAGGGCCAUCGCUCAACGGAUAAAAGCUACCCCGGGGAUAACAGGCUUAUCUCCCCCAAGAGUUCACAUCGACGGGGAGGUUUGGCACCUCGAUGUCGGCUCAUCGCAUCCUGGGGCUGUAGUCGGUCCCAAGGGUUGGGCUGUUCGCCCAUUAAAGCGGUACGCGAGCUGGGUUCAGAACGUCGUGAGACAGUUCGGUCCCUAUCCGUCGUGGGCGUAGGAAAUUUGAGAGGAGCUGUCCUUAGUACGAGAGGACCGGGAUGGACAUACCUCUGGUGUACCAGUUGUCGUGCCAACGGCAUAGCUGGGUAGCUAUGUGUGGACGGGAUAAGUGCUGAAAGCAUCUAAGCAUGAAGCCCCCCUCAAGAUGAGAUUUCCCAACUUCGGUUAUAAGAUCCCUCAAAGAUGAUGAGGUUAAUAGGUUCGAGGUGGAAGCAUGGUGACAUGUGGAGCUGACGAAUACUAAUCGAUCGAAGACUUAAUCAA